rnacentral:lncRNA from 1 species
GAAUGCUGGAGCUCAUCAACUUCAACGCCAUCCCCAUGGUCCCCCUGGACGAUGACCUGGCGACUUCAUCCAAGCAGAGGUGCAUCCAGCAUGAAGAGCUGAAGAUGAGAGUGAAACAGAACCCUCCCCUGUGCCUCAUGGGCUCCAUGGACCAGCUGAAUAGAAAGAUCUCCCAGAUAGACCUGAAGACCAGACUGUACACGACCAGCAUUUACAGCAACGUCCUGAGAAAUCUAACAAAGCCAAGAAGAAGUCACCCAAGUUUUUCUCGCUGACUCCAUCGACUUCAAGUGUUCCCUGUGCCAGGUUGAAAAAGGCCUUGUGUGCACCAGAAGAAAUGAACAGAUUCUUUUCAUCUCCGUUUUCCAAGGCUAUCGUGCUGGACUGUUUCUGGUGGAUCUUUCAUGAAAGAUACGAUGUAAGGAAGGAAGGCGGAGCAGAUGAAGUCUGGCUCCAGGAGAGAGGAGGGAAGUGAUGAAAACUCAUCGCUGCCCUGAUGUCUCUUUGGUGCCUCUGGGCUCAGGGCUGUAGCCAUGACCGUCCUUAAGACUUCCCAACAGUUUGGCAGACAGACUCGGAGGUUGGGCUUGUCCUCCCAUGACGCCUCGUCUUAGGUGAAG